GGAUUAAUGGAGGGAUACAGGACACGUUACAACAUGGCAUUAGAGAGCUCAAUUUAACACAUACCAUGAAUCCAUUCAAAGGCUGCAUCAAUUCACUUGAUGAGGAAUUGCUUCUUUGAUCAUAUGGAUUGAACGACAUAAACAAACUCAUUGUCGUUCCUGUCCGGUAGAUUGGCAUAUUUUCUAUCAAUGUUUUUAUGAAUUCCCCCUGCUUUGAAAGGCUUCAACUGUGAUGUUAUCAAUGUUUAUGAUAGGCUUUGAGAAGCAUGAAAUUGGUGGCAGAUAAAAGGCCAAAUGGUACCACUGGGGAGGUGUACGUACUAUCUUUGGGUGAUAAACCCUUGAAUGGUGGGCAUCCAAAGAGGGCAAUACCAGCUUAUGGGCACAACAAUGGCACAACGUGGUAAGUUUGGUUUCUAAUGCUUUUAGUAGCAUCUAUUUCUAUCUACACAAAUCAUGAAUCUGUCUUAGGUCUCCAUUGAUGAUUGAUAAGAGGCUAGGAUGUUUUAAAUAAAGUAUUGUUUUUGACAUUUUGAGAUUGUUGGUCACUUGUUAUUUGUUCUCAAUAUGCAGAAAGUGUUAUUCAUUUAGAAAAUUGCUCCAAGUUUGUGGAUAAUUAUUGGCGAGGUCUUUUAUUUUAUGAUAUGAUUCCAUUGUAAUCUCUAUUUUUUAAUAGUGAAUUCCAUUUUUGGUUCUGCCUGUGAA